rnacentral:lncRNA from 1 species
UGUACAAAAAUAUUAAAUUUAGUGGUUAUUUAAUCAUGAUUAGUAUAAUAUACAUGAUGAAAAGUUCGAAGAAUUAUGAAUAAUGUACCACAACAUCCGAUAAUAUACAUGAUGAAAAGUUCGAAGAAUUAUGAAUAAUGUACCAUAACAUCCGACUGGUGAAUUAAAUAACGCAGUGCAAUCCGUAAUAAAAACAAAAAUAUUUACAAUAUGCAUUGCCCAGCGUAAAUCAGCGUAUCCCUUUAAUUAAGCAGUACACCAUGUUUGGUAUUAUCAUAUCUAUUCCGUUCUGAUUGAUAUAUACGUUUAACUUUAUUAAUAGUACAUAUUGACGAUCCUUCAUAAAAUAGGCACGUAAACAUUGAUACUACUAUAUAAUAGAACUAUCCUUUUGGCUAGACAUCUACCAUCAAUCUUUUGAUCUUAAACCUUCACCCUAGCCACACAAAUACAUACAGACAUAGUAGAUGCCUAACAAAACUCAAGAAAUUCUUAUUUCUUUAUAUUCUCUACUGUAAAAUACCUACCUGAUUAGGAAUUUUGAAUAAUUGUGGCCAUUACACGCAGAUUUGAGAGUACUCAAAAUU